rnacentral:rRNA from 1 species
AUCGAACGCUGGCGGCAGGCCUAACACAUGCAAGUCGAGCGAGCGGCGGACGGGUGAGUAAUGUAUGGGGACUGCCCGAUAGAGGGGGAUAACUACUGGAAACGGUAGCUAAUAACGCAUACUAUCGGAUAACCCAUAUGGGAUUAGCUAGUAGGUGAGGUAAUGGCUCACCAAGGCGACGAUCCCUAGCUGGUCUGAGAGGAUGAUCAGCCACACUGGGACUGAGACACGGCCCAGACUCCUUCGGAGGCGUCAGUGGGGAAUCUUGCACAAUGGGCGCAAGCCUGGUGGAGCCAUGCCGCGUGUAGGAAGAAGGCCCUAGGUGUGUAAAGUACUUUUAUUCGGGAUGCGUUACCGACAGAGGAAGCACCGGCUAACUCCGUGCCAGCAGCCGCGGUAAUAC